rnacentral:rRNA from 1 species
GGGAGCUUCUGGGGGGGAAAAGCAUUCUAUGUACCCAUGUUUUGUUGAGAUCGAGCUGGCUGUGCUCUGUGUAUUUUUUUACUUAUUUUUGGGGAUAGAUUCGACUGUACUACUAUAAAUUACAUGCUAUUAUUGGAUGCCGAUAUCACUUGGUUUCCUUGCCACCA